rnacentral:rRNA from 1 species
UACAGAGGGUGCGAGCGUUGUCCGGAAUCACUGGGCGUAAAGGGCGCGUAGGCGGCGCGGUAAGCGUGCGGUGAAAGCCCGGGGCUCAACCCCGGGUCGGCCGUGCGGACUGCCGGGCUGGAGCACUGUAGAGGCUAAUGGAAUUCCGGGUGUAGCGGUGGAAUGCGUAGAGAUCCGGAAGAACACCGGUGGCGAAGGCGGUUAGCUGGGCAGUUGCUGACACUGAGGCGCGACAGCGUGGGGAGCAAACAGG